rnacentral:lncRNA from 1 species
AGAACAUCAAUAUAUAAAUACACAAACAAAUAUAAUGGGAAUUGGAGAACUCCCAUUUAUACAAACAAAUAUAAGUGGGCAAAUUCAAUACUCAUAAUAAAUACACAAAGAUAACUAAAAACAUUAUUAAACCAGAUCCAGUAUGCAGCAUACAAGAAAAAGGGGGUAUUUCAAGGAGUAGAACGAGAAGGUGGUGGAGAAAAGGAAGGAAUAGAGGGAACUGCAGUUGGGAUUGAGGGAAUGCUUGGCAGAGGCGGCAGUCCUCUUGGCAAUGUGGUAGGAAGUGGAGGAAGCGCCCCAGGGUUUGUGAGAUUAGGGAUAGAUGGCAAUGGCGGAAAAGAGAAAGGAAUAGGGGGAAUUGCAGUUGGGAUUGUGGGGACUGAGGGAAUGCUUGGCAGAGGGGGCAGUCCUGUUGGGAAUGUGGUAGGAAGUGGAGGAAGCGCCCCAGGCCAUGAGAAUGAUGGUCGGGAUGGCGUUGGGAGAUUAGGGAAAGAUGGUAAACUUUGCGUUCGAGGCUGCUGCAGAAGGUGACGAGCUGCUACCCCAACAUCAAUGCUUGCAAAUGACAAAGCAAUCAAGAAUGCUAAAGCAAAGCAAUUGAAAGAGGCCAUUUUUGUUCAAAGAUUUCGAAACAAAUGAAGCAGAUGAAACGAAGUUCUUUAUCUGAAUAGUUGUGAGUGAGGAAAACAAAGCAUGGUAUUGAGGUUUAUAUAGGCAUUGGAGUAGUGAAUAGAAAUCCCCUGCCCCUAAACAAUGCCCCAUGCAUGCCCCCAAACCAAAAUAGCGCCACAUGUUUUUUAUUUUUUCCAUUUUAAUUGUAGUUCAUUUUUAAAAUAAAAAAUUUAUAGUGAUUUGAAUUAAUUUUUAACUUAUUAUCAACGUUUUUAUUUUUGUUUUAUUUUUAUUUUACAUUAAUUUUACCUAUUCUUUAAUUAACAAAUUUAUAAUGACUUAGAGUUUAUCUAAUAGAGUUUUUUUUUUAUAAUCGGUCUUAUGAUAAAAUUUUAUAAGGUGGGAACAAGUCCCACAGUGACAACAUGAUCCUUCAAUUUUUGGUGGUGGCAUGCCUUUAGUCAAAGGAUCAGCCAACAUCUGCUCAAUGCUAAUGUGCUCAAUGACCAAUUUCUUGUCUUUAACAUGUUUCCUUAUGCCUAGGUACUUAAAGUCGAUAUGUUUACUUCAACUUCCACUUUUUUCGUUCUUAGCCAUAAAGACAGCAGUUGAAUUGUCACAAUAUAUGAAAUAAUCAAAACCCAUAAUGACUCAGCCUAAAAAUCUCGAGCUUCAAACCCAAAUUAAAUUAAAUCAAAACCAUAAUUUAUUAUGUACAAUUGCACAAAAUUAACAUAAUUUAAGUGUGUCAUAGUGCGCGUUAAAUUAAAGUUUACGUUUGACAUUAUAGAUAAUAUUCACGUGUAAAAUUUUGAGAUUUAUUCCCUUAAUUAAUGUAAUAUGUCAAAUAGAAUACUUGAACAAUCCUCCAUGUUGGCAAAGUUUAUGUUAAGUAGUAGAAGCGAACUAAAUAAUGAGAAUAAAUCUAAAGUAUGGCAUACAUAUAAUUUAUUCACAAUGUGACUUAAACUUUGUCCUUCAAGAUUUCACGGUCUCAAUUUAUGUCUUAAAUUUUUAAGAUCAUUUUAGGUUUGUUAAAAAAUUAAAAGUUUAGAAAGUUAGAAUUGUUGCUUGAGGCGUGAAUAUCCCUAUUCUUUAGGAUAUUUGUGGAUUUACCAUCUCUCAGGAUUUCUUUUGUAUCAUGCACAAUGAAAAAAUUGAAAAAAAAAUUUCCCAUUUGAAUGGAAUUGAGCUAUUAGGCUCAAGCCUCGUGUGCGCAUAUAUAUUCUCUUAUUUUGAGUCUUACAAGUUUAUAGUAAACCAAAUCUAUAUAAACAUCAUUUAAUAGGUCAAUCUAAAAUAUGUUUAAUAUGUGUAAUUCUUUAAAAUAGAUGAAAACUUCAAAUAUGGUUUAGGUCAUUUUCAGAUUUGUCUUAUUUUAGGUUCAAAUUAUUCGAAUUUGAGGCUACGUUUUUCAUGUCUAAUCAUUAUUGAUCCGAAUCAUUUUAGAUUUUGAUCAUUUUAAGUUCCAAUUAUUUUGUGAUCAAAUCAUUUCAAGUUUUGAUAAAUUUGGGUCGAUUCGAAUUUGACUUAAUUACGUAGUUAACUUUUUUUAUACUGAACUGAGCUGAAUGAAAGUUAGAUUGGAAUUUAUUUAGUGUGCCUUUGUGUUUAAGUCGAAAUUUAAACAUCUCCCUUCAAAAUAAACAAUUUAAGACAAUUUUAUUUUAAAGACAAUAAUACAACAUAGUUGAUUUGGGAGAUAAACAUGUUAAUUUUUUAAUCCCAACCAAAAUUGUACAUAAUUCUUUUAUGCCAUAUUAAAUACAUGCAACGUCUUAUAAAAAUUGUAAAUAAAUUAUGCCUAGCGACAACGUUAUUCAACUCUAAUUUCAUGGUUAAUACCUAUUUCUAUUUUUCUUCUACUGUCUUCAGCUUUAAAUAUAAAGGGAUUGAAAUUUUAAGAAUUGAGAUUUCUUUUCUCUGUAUUAGUGGACGUUUGAUUUUUUGUUUGAUUGUUUUUUUUACUGGAAUUGGCACAUAUCUUUUCAGAUUUAUCAAUAUUUUUUUAAAUUUAUUUAAGAUAUGUAUAUCAAUAUAUUACAAAUAUAAAAUAAAUGAAACUAAAUACAUUUCAAAUAUAAAAUAUUUAUUAAUAAACUGAACAAAUAAAAAUUUAUCAUUCUAAUAAAUCCAAAAUUAUUAAUAACAAUCCAUCAUUUAAUAUGAAAUUUUAUGGAUUUAGCUCAUUUACUUAAUAAAAGAAGCUGAAAGGUGGACGAAUAUAUUUUUUCUUUGAUAAUCGGGUGAACGGUUUUUUCUUAAUUAUAUUUUGAAUGUGAAAGUGUAUUCCAUUUUUUAAAAAACUUUACAUUCUGAUGUAACAUUUUUAAUUAGCCACGUUUCAAUUAAGUUUUUGGCAUAAUAGUAAAUAAUUAAAAGUUUAAUAUUUUUAAUGUUAUUCAUCCACAGGACUGUGCAUUAUGUUCUGGCAAGUGUGACAGGAAUUGAUCGGAAUGAGUUGGUGCAAUUUGUACGGACCGAAAUUUUCACCAGUGUAGAAAAAGUGUGUUGGGUGUUUUGCAAUGUUAUUGAAACCAAACUAAACAGACCAAGAACCGAUGAACCCGAGGACUAGAGUAAACUGCAGUUAAACUGCAAAUCAUCAGCCGAUUAAGUCGUAUUUUAACAUUUUCUAAACUGGAAAGAAGAAAAUUUCACUUCAAGGCCCUUGAGCUUUUGUCACACUUCUUCUCUGCACUCAAUGAAAUAAAACACAACAUAAAAAUAUAAGCACCAUUUCUUUUAUUACUUUUUCUACUAAAAUAAGUGUUUUUUUCCUCUUAAAAAACCUAAGAUGGGGAGAGGAUUUUAAAAUUCAAAACCUUCGAAAUAGAUGAGUUUGAGGUUGUUAAUAUUAUUUUAUAUUGUUGAAUAGUAAAUUAAUUGUAUUGGUGGUUUAACCUAUUGGAUCGAGAAUUAAUGAUUUGAUUGAUUUGAGUUUGGGCUGCUCACAAUCUUGACUGCAUUUAUCAUUUAAUUCUUUUUUUAAUUAGCCAAACUCAUGUUAACAAUGGUAUAACAGUAAUUAAUGACUUCAUGGACAGAACAUCAAUAUAUAAAUACACAAACAAAUAUAAUGGGAAUUGGAGAACUCCCAUUUAUACAAACAAAUAUAAGUGGGCAAAUUCAAUACUCAUAAUAAAUACACAAAGAUGACUAAAACCAUUAUUAAACCAGAUCCAGUAUGCAGCAUACAAGAAAAAGGGGGUAUUUCAAGGAGUAGAACGAGAAGGUGGUGGAGAAAAGGAAGGAAUAGAGGGGACUGCAGUUGGGAUUGAGGGAAUGCUUGGCAGAGGCGGCAGUCCUCUUGGCAAUGUGGUAGGAAGUGGAGGAAGCGCCCCAGGGUUUGGGAGAUUAGGGAUAGAUGGCAAUGGCGGAAAAGAGAAAGGAAUAGGGGGAAUUGCAGUUGGGAUUGUGGGGACUGAGGGAAUGCUUGGCAGAGGGGGCAGUCCUGUUGGGAAUGUGGUAGGAAGUGGAGGAAGCGCCCCAGGCCAUGAGAAUGAUGGUCGGGAUGGCGUUGGGAGAUUAGGGAAAGAUGGUAAACUUUGCGUUCGAGGCUGCUGCAGAAGGUGACGAGCUGCUACCCCAACAUCAAUGCUUGCAAAUGACAAAGCAAUCAAGAAUGCUAAAGCAAAGCAAUUGAAAGAGGCCAUUUUUGUUCAAAGAUUUCGAAACAAAUGAAGCAGAUGAAACGAAGUUCUUUAUCUGAAUAGUUGUGAGUGAGGAAAACAAAGCAUGGUAUUGAGGUUUAUAUAGGCAUUGGAGUAGUGAAUAGAAAUCCCCUGCCCCUAAACAAUGCCCCAUGCAUGCCCCCAAACCAAAAUAGCGCCACAUGUUUUUUAUUUUUUCCAUUUUAAUUGUAGUUCAUUUUUAAAAUAAAAAAUUUAUAGUGAUUUGAAUUAAUUUUUAACUUAUUAUCAACGUUUUUAUUUUUGUUUUAUUUUUAUUUUACAUUAAUUUUACCUAUUCUUUAAUUAACAAAUUUAUAAUGACUUAGAGUUUAUCUAAUAGAGUUUUUUUUUUAUAAUCGGUCUUAUGAUAAAAUUUUAUAAGGUGGGAACAAGUCCCACAGUGACAACAUGAUCCUUCAAUUUUUGGUGGUGGCAUGCCUUUAGUCAAAGGAUCAGCCAACAUCUGCUCAAUGCUAAUGUGCUCAAUGACCAAUUUCUUGUCUUUAACAUGUUUCCUUAUGCCUAGGUACUUAAAGUCGAUAUGUUUACUUCAACUUCCACUUUUUUCGUUCUUAGCCAUAAAGACAGCAGUUGAAUUGUCACAAUAUAUGAAAUAAUCAAAACCCAUAAUGACUCAGCCUAAAAAUCUCGAGCUUCAAACCCAAAUUAAAUUAAAUCAAAACCAUAAUUUAUUAUGUACAAUUGCACAAAAUUAACAUAAUUUAAGUGUGUCAUAGUGCGCGUUAAAUUAAAGUUUACGUUUGACAUUAUAGAUAAUAUUCACGUGUAAAAUUUUGAGAUUUAUUCCCUUAAUUAAUGUAAUAUGUCAAAUAGAAUACUUGAACAAUCCUCCAUGUUGGCAAAGUUUAUGUUAAGUAGUAGAAGCGAACUAAAUAAUGAGAAUAAAUCUAAAGUAUGGCAUACAUAUAAUUUAUUCACAAUGUGACUUAAACUUUGUCCUUCAAGAUUUCACGGUCUCAAUUUAUGUCUUAAAUUUUUAAGAUCAUUUUAGGUUUGUUAAACUGCAGUUAAACUGCAAAUCAUCAGCCGAUUAAGUCGUAUUUUAACAUUUUCUAAACUGGAAAAAAGAAAAUUUCACUUCAAGGCCCUUGAGCUUUUGUCACACUUCUUCUCUGCACUCAAUGAAAUAAAACACAACAUAAAAAUAUAAGCACCAUUUCUUUUAUUACUUUUUCUACUAAAAUAAGUGUUUUUUUCCUCGUAAAAAACCUAAGAUGGGGAGAGGAUUUUAAAAUUCAAAACCUUCGAAAUAGAUGAGUUUGAGGUUGUUAAUAUUAUUUUAUAUUGUUGAAUAGUAAAUUAAUUGUAUUGGUGGUUUAACCUAUUGGAUCGAGAAUUAAUGAUUUGAUUGAUUUGAGUUUGGGCUGCUCACUAUCUUGACUGCAUUUAUCAUUUAAUUCUUUUUUUAAUUAGCCAAACUCAUGUUAACAAUGGUAUAACAGUAAUUAAUGACUUCAUGGACUGAACAUCAAUAUAUAAAUACACAAACGUAGUGGCCCAAUAUUGCCCGGCCCGAUAAUAAAAAAUGAUAAAAUAAAUAAAGGUCCAAUGUCCAGCUUUUACAAACCCAAAAUCAAUACUGCCCAAUUAGCCUAAACCCAAUUAGGUUUAACCCAAACUCUAGCCUAGCCCAAAACCCAACUUAGCCCAAGACUCUCCCCAAACCCCGAAAACCCUAGCAGCAACGGGAGCCUCCUUCCAACGCGCAACCAUCAGGUGGCCUUCUCCACGCACACGCUGCCACGUACAUCUCCUUACGGCCACCUCCGUACCUCCAGGCUGGCCGAAUACCUGCAAAAAAAAAUGCACGGAAACAGCAGCAAAUAGAAAAACAACAGCAUAGGGGUGAAUUUUUAAUUAUUUUUUCAUUUUAUUUUCUGUAAAUCGGGCUAUAAGAAAGCGAUUCGAAUACUGUAACAGAUUUACGCAUUCAAUAUACAAAGAAAUUGAGAAUACAAAAGAAUCAAAAAAGCAGAGAAAGGUGAUUUUCUGGGUUUUUUAAUCCUUUCUAUCUUGUUGGUUACUUGAUUCUUUUUUUUUACUUUUUUAAAUUGUACGUUCAUCAAUCGUUGUUUAAAAAAGAAAUAGGAAAAAGAAAGGGAGGGAAACGUACCUGGUAGCGCGAUCCUGGCUCUCUCCGGCGUCAUCGGAGCAGGGGCUGGGAUCAAUGACUGCUCGAGUACCUUCAAUACCCAGAGCGGCGCUGAGUUUUUUUUUUUAGUUUAGGUUUUUCUUUUAAUUUAAUGAUAGGUUUUUAGGGUUUAUUUAGUUUUAAGCGAAGGAAUUAAAACGUCGACGUUAAAAGUCGAUGCAAUGACUUUGAAACGGCAUCGUUUUAGGGACCAGAUCCGAACGGUGACCCGAUCCAGGAAGGAUCCGUGCAUUAUGGAUCAUUUGGUCUAUUUGUUCAAUAGAUCCCUCUAUGUUUAAUGGAAUUGCGAUUUGAUUUCUUUUAAUUUUUUGUAAUUCGUACUGCAUAUUUUGUUCUAUUUUCAUUUAGAUCCAGAUUGAAACGGUAUCGUUUACUGCGUUUGACUUUGAUUAUUCUAAGCUUUUGGGUUUAAUUGCCGAUUCAGUCCUCCAAUUUUGAAAUAAAUUUUAAUUUAACAUGAGUUUAGCCUUUUUAAAAAAAAAAGAAAUCAAUAUCAUUUUUUAAUUAUAAUUAAUCCUAUUUUGGUACAUUAUAAAAUCUAACAUUAUUUGUAAUAUUUGAUUUUGAUGUUUUUAAAUCUACAUUUAUUAUAACCUAAGAUAUAAUAGAUCAUUGUUUUAGUUUAUAUCCUAUACUUUAAAUUUAUUAUAUAAUAAUAUUUUGUAUCUACCAUAUUUAUUUAAUUUUGUCUUUUCCUUUUGGUUCCAUUUUAAGUCCCGAUUUUAAAUUUAUUAAUAUUUUCAUUAUAAUUGUUGUUAUUACGCUUCUAAAUUGUUUUAUUAUAUUUCAUUUUGUCUUCAAAAAGUGUUUUUUAAAACAAAUUAAUUCUUAAUUUUAAUUCAUUUUCUAACAUUAUUUUGGUAUUUAGUAUGAUAUUAUUUUCAAAUUUAUUAUUAGUACAUUUUUUUAAAAUAAUACAUUAUUUUUUAAAUUAUUAUCAAUAUGUUUUAAUUUUAUCAAUAUUAUUUUAAAAAUAUAUAUGAUUUAUAUGAAAUUAUUCUAGUAUAUAUGUAUAUAGAUUACAUCAUUAACUUUAGAUUAACCUCUUUUACAUAAUUUUUUUAAAAUGUUUUAUUCCUUAAACCUUAUUUAUUUUAUUCAUUUUAUAGGUUGUUAAAUUAUUAAUAUGGAUGUUUGUAUGACAUGAUUAAGAUCAAUGUUUAUAUUUGCCUAUUAUUUGUUUAAUUGCUUCUAGUUUAAGUUUAAGUUGUUAUUUAUCUUUUAUAUAUCGUUAUUCAAUCAUGUUUCAUUUGUAAGAGUUGAAUUUUAUUAAAGCAUCAUAAUUCCUAAAAAAGCUUGGUGUUUAAUAGUUCUCGAGAGAAUUGUACCCUAACUUACUGGGCUUCAAUUCUUCUCGAUGAAUUUAUAUCAUCAAGUAUCCAUUUUAUACAAUUUUAAAAUAAAAUUCUUUAGAUUUCAAAAUGUGGGAUCCUAACUUACUGGAUACGACAUUUUGUUAUCUCGAUUUUAAAAUAAAGGCAAUAUUUGAUGUUUAAAAAUUUCAAGAAAUCGAACCCUAACUUACUGGAUUCUGAUUUCUCGAUUGACUUAAAUAGUCAAAUAUCCUUCUUAAAACAUGUUUAAAUUUUUUUAAAAAGGGACGAACUUAACUUCGAAGAUUGAACUGUUUCACUUUAACUCACUGAGUGUGGCGAUUUGUUUCUUUGACAUGGGUCCGUCCACUUAACCAAUUUAAUUAUUUAAGCUUUCAUUUCAUGGGAUCGUAUUUAAAAAUCUUUUCAAGUUUUGACACUAAGACAUUAAAUAACCAAUUCGGUACCAAUUUUGGGCGUUACGAGGGUGCUAACCCUUCCUCGUGCGUAACCGACUUUCGAACUUAUCUUCUCAAAAUUCGCAGACCAAAAAAAUUGUUUUCAAGGUGAUCCGAUCUCACCUCAACAAAAAUUGGUGGCGACUCCAAUUUUCAUUUUUUAAAGUCGACUACUAAUAAAUUUUUGUUUUCAAAAAAUGGUUUCGACAGCUUGGUGACUCCACUGGGGACUAUAAGAGAGUCAAGUUGAAAAAUUUAUUGUUUCCUAUCUUAUCGUCGAAAAUUAAAAAUUUGAUUUGAAAAAUUAUGAUCCUUUCUUUGCAUUUGUUUGUAUGAUUACUGUUUUAUACCUUGGCAUCAUAUUGCAUAAAGACUGUUUAGUCUUACCCUUUAAGUGGGAGUGAGAAGCUAUUCCUUCUUGAGGUUUUCACCUCCGUGCAGGAUAGUGAAUCACUUUCGCGAUACAUCCGUACCUAUGUCUUCGUGAUAUUUUCAUCUCCGUGCAGCCAUAGGGAAAUGUAUUCCCCCGAACCGAACUCGGUCUGUAUGAGCCUAUAAUGGGUGAAGAUCGAGGAAUCUGUUGGUUCGGGCACCUCAACUUUAGAACCAAACCCCAUAUAGUGGACUUAGAAGCUCAACCUAGUUAGAACUAUUCCAAUCUCUCGUGAUUGCCCAGAUAGAUGAUUGUGUUUCUUAUACUUGCUUUGAAUUUUUAUUUUUGUGUUGUACUGACUUGUUUAUGUUUUGUUGAUAUUGUUGCAUGUCACUGCAUAGUUCAAAGAGUGUCGAUUCAAGUUCAGUUACUAAAUUAGAAAACCGUCAUGGCAAACGAAUUUCUGGAUAAAGUGGAGGAUAACGCCAUUGUCUGUAUAUGGUCAGAGAAGGUGCAAUUGGAGAAAGGAGACAAUUUAUCUAAGGGAUAUGUGUCAGAGCUUUGGGACUACACUCGUAUUAGUGUGACACAAAAUAGCCUUCAGGAGUUAAAUGAGAUUUGGGAUCAGUGGAAUGAUGAAACCAAGUAGAUGUUCUACUCUAAUUAUGGGGACUUGCCGUACUUACUUAAAAUCAAGGUGGAUGAAAGACUAUUUCGCGCUCUCGCUCAAAAUUGGAAUCUUGCAUAUAGCUAUUUUACUUAUGGGAACGUAGAUUUGGUGCCCACAGUGGAGGAAUAUACAGCUUUACUACACUGCCCUAGGCUUCAGGUUGAUAAAGCAUAUUCUAGAGCCACAUAUGUCCCAGCGUUUUGGAAGAAAUUAAUGAGUAUUACCGGAAUGAGCAAACAAUGGAUCACGGCCAGGAUCAAACAGAAGGGCGAGUGUAAAUGUAUCCCAUAGAGGAAUUUGCGAGACUUGAUCCUAGCACAUCCUGACGGAAAAAAGAAGGUUGAUGUGUUUGCUUUGAGUAUCUACGGGUUAGUGAUUUUCCCUAGAGCAUUGGGCCAUGUUGACGAAGCGGUUUCAGAUCUUUUUGAUCGGUUGGGUAAAGGGGUCACGUCUGUUCUUGCGAUUUUGGCUGAAACGUUUAGAUCUUUGAAUACGUGUAGGCAAGCUGGUGAAGGUAGAUUUAUAGGUUGUGCACAAUUGUUGAUAGCUUGGUUCCAUAGUCAUUUCUAGAAGGUCGACAAAGUUUCGUAUCGGGUUUUCUCUAGGCAUUACUCCCUGUUAAAAGAGAUAGUGGCUACGCCAAGAAAGGACGAUAUUUCAGAAGAAAAUUGGAUAGCAAUUCUGCAAAAUCUUCAAGAGGAUGAUGUGGAGUGGAGAGCUCCUUGGUUGAUUCCUGAUGGAAUUCUCUACCGUUGUGGAAGCUUUGACUAGGUUCCGUUGCUUGGGAUUUGGGGAGCCGUUGGGUAUGCACCUUUGCUGGUCCUAAGGCAAUACAAUUCAAGACAGUUUGUGCCGGCAACGUAUGGUUUAGCUCAAUAUGAGUUCUCGUACCGAGGAGACAAUUACAAGAAAAAGGUGAAAGAAAUUUCUCAGGCUUGGAAUGAGGUUCACAGGAUGAAAAGGCUAGCUGUGGGUUUGAUGACAACUCCAGAGUACGAUGAGUGGCGACGUAAAAGAAUUAAUGAUAACAUUCUGGAGUUAAACUUGGAGGGUGUUCGACCAAUGGAAGAGUACCUACAAGUGAUCCCAUCAGAGUUGGAGAUUUUAAAACAAGAUUUUGAAAAGAGGAAUUUAGAACUUGAAAAGAAAAUAGAGCGGUUGGAAGAAGAGAAGAUUCAUUUGAGGCUAGACAUUAACGUCUAAAAGUUAGAAGCUGAAAAAUUAAAGAAGGGGAAGAAUAAAGUAGAGGAGGAUCUGGAUAGCUUAAAGACGGACUACAAAAGGCUACGAGUAUCAAUGAGAACUGCUGGGUUGGGAAAGACUUCAGAGCAGUGGCGACAGGAGAUCCAAGAAGAAAGAAACAUAGUCGAUCGGUGGGAAAGAAAGUCCUAGGAGGCUCAAGUUCAGAAAGAGACCUUAGAACGACAGGUGUUAGAAACUCAAAACUAUCAAGCGGACUUAAAAGCUAGAAUAGCGGAACUCAAGAGAUCACUUGCUGCGUAUAGAAGUCGUAAUUCUGUAGUGGAAUUAAAGACAAGUCUAUGCAAGAUUGAAGAAAUGAAAAAUAGGAUAGAAGAAUUGGAGUACACAUUACAAGGCUGUAGACAACGGAUCGAAUCCUUGGAAGGAAAUGAAGAGCGUUGGAGGGAGCAACUUUAUCAUUCGCAAAAUCAAAUUCAGAACAGAGGUUACAUUAUGGGCAGGGCUAUUGCUCAGAUUUGGGAGGUAGCUGAUCAUUUGCAAACAAUGGCAAUUCAGGCUGACGUGUUAAGCGUAAAGUAUGAACUGGAAUCAGAUCGAGGGCAGGAGUUAGCUUCGCUAUUGAAGGAAGCUUCGCUAUUGAAGGAAGUUAAAGCUUUGAGUAUUAGGGCAAAGCCAUACUUGUAAUUCAUUUUAUGUAAAGAAUUUUGUUUAUCAAUAAAGUUUUCUAAAGGAAAUUGGAUCAGAAUCGACGCUCUUUUUGCAUUCAUUUCAUGCAUUUGCAUUACAUGACAUCAUAUGCAUUCAAGACUAUUAAGAAGAGGUUUUAAUUGGUUAAAAUUGUGCUUCAGUUAAUUUGGAAACCAGCAAAAAUUCAUCAACCAAGCACCACUACGGUACCCGUGCGAAAUCAAAAAUUAUGGAUCAAAGAUUGGAAAAGCUUGAGCGCUUUCAAAAGGAAAUGCAAGAUCAAAUGAAAGAACAAAUGGAAAAGAUUCAACAUGACAUGAUACAAAAGAUGCAGGAGUCUCAAAAUGACAUGAUGACUAAGUUGACGCAAUUAAUAACCAGAGGAGUAGAUAAAGGGAAAGGUCCUGUGAUUUGUAAUGAAGAAGGAAACAAUGAUGAACCACUUCUUCCUCCAGGUUUUACGCCUCCGCACGCGCAAGUUCAGACUGAACCGCAUCCGCGGAGACCUUCUGUUUCGAGUAGGCCUCAGCAUUUUCAAGGGGAUGUUUCAAUACCGAAGAACUUUCAGGUCGGAUCUGGCUCUAAUCCUGGUGAUAAUUUGAAUAAUAUUGCUGUCCCGUAUUUCGAUGAAGUAGCUGAGAAGGAUAAGGUGAAAGAAGAGUUUCCAAAGCAGUUUGAGGAGAAAUAGAAAUGGAUUGAAGAGAAAUUUAGAGUGAUGGAAAGCAUUGAAAGCUAUCGUGGAAUAGAUGAAAAAGAUCUGAGUCUGGUUCCGAAUUUGGUACUUUCUUACAAGUUUAAGAUGUCAGAAUUUGAGAAAUACAGUAGGACCAGUUGCCCUGAGGCCCAUAUCACCAUGUUCUGUAGGAGAAUGACGGGGUAUAUUAAUAAUUACCAAUUAUUAAUACAUUGAUUUCAGAAUAGUCUUAUAGGGGCGGCGUCAAAAUGGUACAAUCAGCUGAGUCGAACCAAAAUCGCUACUUGGAGGGAUUUGGCAUAGGCUUUCAUGAGACAGUACAAUCAUGUAUCAGAAAUGACACCUAACCGAAUAACUUUGCAGAAUUUAGAGAAAAAAUCAAACGAAAGCUUCAGACAGUAUGCGCAGCGAUGGAGGGAAAUUGCAAUUCAGGUUCAGCCACCACUUGUGGAAAAGAGAAUGACAAUGCUUUUUAUCAAUACAUUGAAAGCCCCGUUCAUUACUCACAUGUUGGGAAGUGCUUCAAAGAACUUCUCGGAUAUAAUCAUGAACGGUGAAAUGAUUGAGAAUGCUAUUAAGAGUGGAAGAAUAGAUGGAGGGGAUAAUAAUAGAAGGACAGCCCCAAAGAAAAGAGAAAAUGAAGUGAGCAAUGUGAGCUGAUACGGUAGGUCAAUUACGGUGAAUCAACCAGGAAAGGUGGUUACUAAUCAAUAAAGCUCAUCAAGACAAGAAGUAGGAGGGAGGCAAAACACUAAAAAACCCCAGUUUACGCCAAUUCCGAUGUCAUACAAGGAGUUAUAUCAGAAUUUAUUUAAUGCAUAUGUUGUUUCCCCUCAUUACUUGACCCCUUUACAACCCCCUUAUCCCAAAUGGUACGAUAUAAAUGCACAAUGUGACUAUCAUGCGGGAAUCUCGGGGCAUUCAAUAGAGAAUUGCACGGCUUUCAAGAAGGUAGUGGAAAAACUCAUCAGGAUGGGUGUUGUCAAAUUUGAUGACUCACUUAACGCAAAAAAUCUGUUACCUAAUCAUGCUGAUAAGGGAGUAAAUAUGAUGGGCGAAAGUAUGGGAGAAAAAUUCAAGAAUGACAUCGGUGAAGUAAAAACUCCAUUGAAACAGGUCUGGAAAGAGAUGGUGAAAAGAGGGCUAGGCAUUUCAGAUUUUGGGGAAGAGGAUGAGGCUGAAAAAUAUUGUGAAUUCCACCGUGAAGUAGGACAUGAGAUUCAAGAAUGUGAAGAAUUUAAAGCUCUGGUCCAAAGCAUGAUGGAUAACAAGGAAAUAAAGUUCUAUGAGGAAACAGAGGAAGAAAGAAGCAUAUGCGCGUCGGAAUCAACAACGAAGAUUUCAAAAAUAAAUCAUCCUGUGGUCAUUAUUUCGCACCCUAAGAACAGUGAGGCUAGGGUCCAGGUAACGCCAAAAAUUGUAAUACAUAAGCUGUCAAAUUUCUCAUAUAAAGAUAGUAAAAUGGUUCCGUGGAAGUACGGAUGCAAUGUGACAAUCUCAACGUUUUUAUUUAUUUUAUUUUUAUUUUACAUUAAUUUUACCUAUGCUUUAAUUAAAAAAAUUAUAAUGACUUAGAGUUUAUUUAAUAGAGUUUUUUUUUAUAAUCGGUCUUAUAAUAAGAUUUUAUAAGGUGGGACCAAGUCCCACAGUGACAACAUGAUCCUUCAAUUUUUUGUGGUGGCAUGCCUUUAGUCAAAGGAUCAGCUAACAUCUGCUCAAUGCUAAUGUGCUCAAUGACCAAUUUCUUUUCUUUAACAUGUUCCCUUAUGCCUAGGUACUUAAAGUCAAUAUGUUUACUUCGACUUCCACUUCUUUCGUUCUUAGCCAUAAAGACAGCAGUUGAAUUGUCACAAUAUAUGAAAUAAUCAAAACCCAUAAUGACUCAGCCCAAAAAUCUCGAACUUCAAACCCAAAUUAAAUUAAAUCAAAACCAUAAUUUAUUAUGUACAAUUGCACAAAAUUAACAUAAUUUAAGUGUGUCAUAGUGCACAUUAAAUUAAAGUUUACGUUUGACAUUAUAGAUAAUAUUCACGUGUAAAAUUUUGAGAUUUAUUCCCUUAAUUAAUGUAAUAUGUUAAAUAGAAUACUUGAACAAUCCUCCAUGUUGGCAAAGUUUAUGUACAGUAGUAGAAGCGAACUAAAUAAUUAGAAUAAAUCUAAGGUAUGGCUUACAUAUAUUUUAUUCACAAUGUGACUUAAACUUUGUCCUUCAAGAUUUCACGGUCUCAAUUUAUGUCUUAAAAUUUUAAGAUCAUUUUAGGUUUGUUAAAAAAUUAAAAGUUUAGAAAGUUAGAAUUGUUGCUUGAGGCGUGAAUAUCCCUAUUCUUUAGGAUAUUUGCGGAUUUACCAUCUCUCAGGAUUUCGUUUGUAUCAUGCACAAUGAAAAAAUUGAAAAAAAAAAUUCCCAUUUGAAUGGAAUUGAGCUAUUAGGCUCAAGCCUCGUGUGCGCAUAUAUAUUCUCUUAUUUUGAGUCUUACAAGUUUAUAGUAAACCAAAUCUAUAUAAACAUCAUUUCAUUAGGUCAAUCUAAAAUAUGUUUAAUAUGUGUAAUUCUUUAAAAUAGAUGAAAACUUCAAAUAUGGUUUAGGUCAUUUUUAGAUUUCUCUUAUUUUAGGUUCAAAUCAUUCGAAUUUGAGGCUAAUUUUUUCAUGUGUAAUCAUUAUUGAUCCGAAUCAUUUUAGAUUUUGAUCAUUUUAAGUUCCAAUUAUUUUGUGAUCAAAUCAUUUCAAGUUUAGAUAAAUUUGGGUCGAUUUGAAUUUGACUUAAUUACGUAGUUAACUUUUUUUUUUAUAAUAAAUUGAGCUGAAUGAAAGUUAGAUUGGAAUUUAUUUAGUGUGCCUUUGUGUUUAAGUCAAAAUUUAAACAUCUCCCUUCGAAAUAAACAUGUUAAGACAAUUUUAUUUUAAAGACAAUAAUACAACAUAGUUGAUUUGGGAGAUAAACAUGUUAAUUUUUUAAUCCCAACCAAAAUUGUACAUAAUUCUUUUAUGUCAUAUUAAAUACAUGUAACGUCUUAUAAAAAUUGUCAAUAAAUUAUGCCUAGCGACAACGUUAUUCAACUCUUUUCAUUGUUAAUACCUAUUUCUAUUUUUCUUCUAAUGUCUUCAGCUUUAAAUAUAAAGGGAUUGAAAUUUUAAGAAUUGAGAUUUCUUUUCUCUGUAUUAGUGGACGUUUGAUUUUUUGUUUGAUUGUUUUUUUUACUGGAAUUGACACAUAUCUUUUCAGAUUUAUCAAUAUUUUUUAAAUUUAUUUAAGAUAUGUAUAUAAAUAUAUUACAAACGUAAUGGCCUAAUAUUGCCCGGCCCGAUAAUAAAAAAUGAUAAAAUAAAUAAAGGUCCAAUGUCCAGCUUUUACAAACCCAAAAUCAAUACGGCCCAAUUAGCCUAAACCCGAUUAGCUUUAACCCAAACUCUAGCCUAGCCCAAAACCCAACUUAGCCCAAGACUCUCCCGAAACCCCGAAAACCCUAGCAGCAACAGGAGCCUCCUUCCAGAGCCGCAACCAUCAGCUGGCCUUCUCCACGCACACGCUGCCACGCACAUCUCCAGACGGCCACCUCCGUACCUCCAGGUUGGCCGAAUACCUGCAAAAAAAAACGCACGGAAACAACAGCAAAUAGAAAAACAAUAGCAUAGGGGUGAAUUUUUAAUUAUUUUUUCAUUUUAUUUUCUGUAAAAGGGCUAUAAGAAAGGCAUUCGAAUACUGUAACGGGAUUUACGCAUUGAAUAUAUAAAGAGAUUGAGAAUACAAAAGAAUCAAAAAAGCAGAAAAAGGUGAUUUUCUGGGUUUUUUAUUCCUUUCUAUCUUGUUGGUUACUUGAUUCUUUUUUUUACUUUUUUAAUUUGUACGUUCAUCAAUCGUUGUUUAAAAAAAAUAGGAAAAAGAAAGGGAGGGAAACGAUCCUGGCUCUCUCCGGCGUCAUCGGAGUAGGGGCUGGGAUCAAUUACUGCUCGAGUACCUUCAAUACCCAAAGCGGCGCUGAGUUUUUUUUUUUCGUUUAGGUUUUUGUUUUAAUGUAAAGAUAAGUUUUUAGGGUUUAUUUAGUUUUAAGCGAAGGAAUUAAAAAUUCAACGUUUAAAGUCGAUGCAAUGACUUUGAAACAACGUCGUUUUAGGGACCAGAUCCAAACGGUGACCCGAUCCGGGAAGGAUGCAUGCAUUAUGGAUCAUUUGGUCUAUUUGUUCAAUAGAUCCCUCUAUGUUUAAUGGAAUUGCGAUUUGAUUUCUUUUAAUUGUUUGUAAUUCGUACUGCAUAUUUUGUUCUGUUUUCAUUUAGAUCCAGAUUGAAAUGGUAUCGUUUACUGCAUUUGACUUUGAUUAUUCUGAGCUUUUGGGUUUAAUUGCCGAUUCAGUCCUCCAAUUUUGAAAUAAAUUUUAAUUUAACAUGAGUUUAGCCUUAAAAAAAAAAAGAAGAAAUCAAUAGCAUUUUUUAAUUAUAAUUAAUCCUAUUUUCGUACAUUAUAAAAUCUAACAUUAUUUGUAAUAUUUGAUUUUGAUGUUUUUAAAUCUACAAUUAUUAUAACCUAAGAUAUAAUAGAUCAUUGUUUUAGUUUAUAUCCUAUACUUUAAAUUUAUUAUAUAAUAAUAUUUUGAAUCUACCAUAUUUAUUUAAUUUUGUCUUUUCCUUUUGGUUCCAUUUUUAGUCCCGAUUUUAAAUUUAUUAAUAUUUUCAUUAUAAUUGUUGUUAUUACUCUUCUAAAUUGUUUUACUAUAUUUAAUUUUGUCUUCAAAAAGUGUUUUUUAAAACAAAUUAAUUCUUAAUUUUAAUUCAUUUUCUAACAUUAUUUUGGUAUUUAGUAUGAUAUUAUUUUCAAUUUUAUUAUUAGUACAUUUUUUAAAAAUAAUACAUUAUUUUUUUAAAUUAUUAUCAAUAUGUUUUAAUUUUAUCAAUAUUAUUUUAAAUAUAUAUAUGAUUUAUAUGAAAUUAUUCUAGUAUAUAUGUAUAUAGAUUACAUCAUUAACUUUAGAUUAACCUUUUUUACAUAAUUUUUUUAAAAUGUUUUAUUCCUUAAACCUUAUUUAUUUUAUUUGUUUUAUAGGUUGUUAAAUUAUUAAUAUGGAUGUUUGUAUGACAUGAGUAAGAUCAAUGUUUAUAUUUUCCUAUUAUUUGUUUAAUUGCUUCUAGUUUAAGUUUAAGUUGUUAUUUAUCUUUUAUAUAUCGUUAUUCAAUCAUGUUUCAUUUGUAAGAGUUGAAUUUUAUUAAAGCAUCAUAAUUCCUAAAAAAGCUUGGUGUUUAAUAGUUCUCGAGAGAAUUGUGCCCUAACUUACUGGGCUUCAAUUCUUCUCGAUGAAUUUAUAUCAUCAAGUAUCCAUUUUAUACAAUUUUAAAAUAAAAUUCUUUAGAUUUCAAAAUGUGGGAUCCUAACUUACUGGAUACGACAUUUUGUUAUCUCGAUUUUAAAAUAAAGGCAAUAUUUGAUGUUUAAGAAUUUCGAGAAAUCGAACCCUAACUUACUAGAUUCUGAUUUCUCGAUUGACUUAAAUAGUCAAAUAUCCUUCUUAAAACAUGUUUAAAAUUUUCUAAAAAGGGACGAACUUAACUUCGAAGAUUGAACUGUUUCACUCUAACUCACUGAGUGUGGCGAUUUGUUUCUUUGAAAUGGGUCCGUCCACUUAACCAAUUCAAUUAUUUAAGCUUUCAUUUCAUGGGAUCGUAUUUAAAAAUCUUUUCAAGUUUCGACACUAAGACAUUAAAUAACCAAUUCGGUACCAAUUUUGAGCGUUACGAGGGUGCUAACCCUUCCUCGUGUGUAACCGACUUCCGAACUUAUCUUCUCAAAAUUCGCAGACAAAAAAAAUUAUUUUCAAGGUGAUCCGAUCACACCUCAACAAAAAUCGGUGGCGACUCCAAUUUUCUUUUUUUAAAGUCGACUACUAAUAAAUUUUUAUUUUCAAAAAAUGGUUUCAACAACAAAUAUAAAAUAAAUGAAACUAAAUACAUUUCAAAUAUAAAAUAUUCGUUAAUAAACUUAACAAAUAAAAAUUUAUCAUUGAAAUAAAUCCAAAAUUAUUAAUAACAAUCCAUCAUUUAAUAUGAAAUUUUAAAGAUUUAGCUCAUUUACUUAAUAAGAGAAGCUGAAAGGUGAACGAAUAUAUUUUUCUUUGAGAAUCAGGUGAACGGUUUUUUCUUAACUAUAUUUUGAAUGUGAAAGUAUAUUCCAUUUUUUAAAAAACUUUACAUUCCGAUGUAGCAUUUUUAAUUAGUCACGUUUCAAUUAAGUUUUUAGCAUAAUAGAAAAUAAUUAAAAGUUUAAUAUUUUUAAUAUUAUUCAUGCGCAGGACGGUGCACUAUGUUCUGGCAGGUGUGACUGGAAUUGAUCGGAAUGAGUUGGUGCAAUUGGUACGGACCGAAAUUUUUACCAGUGUAGAAAAAGGGUGUUGGGUGUUUCACAAUAUUAUUGAAAGCAAACCAAAAAGACCAAGAACCGAUGAACCCGAGAACUAGAGUAAACUGCAGUUAAACUACAAAUCAUCUGUCAAUUAAGUCGUAUUUUCACAUUUUUUUAAACCGGAAAAACAAAAAUUACACUUCAAAUCCCUUGAGCCAUUGUUAUACUUUUUCUCUGCACUCAAUGAAAUAAAACACAACAUAAAAAAAUAAGCACNNNNNNNNNNNNNNNNNNNNNNNNNNNNNNNNNNNNNNNNNNNNNNNNNNNNNNNNNNNNNNNNNNNNNNNNNNNNNNNNNNNNNNNNNNNNNNNNNNNNNNNNNNNNNNNNNNNNNNNNNNNNNNNNNNNNNNNNNNNNNNNNNNNNNNNNNNNNNNNNNNNNNNNNNNNNNNNNNNNNNNNNNNNNNNNNNNNNNNNNNNNNNNNNNNNNNNNNNNNNNNNNNNNNNNNNNNNNNNNNNNNNNNNNNNNNNNNNNNNNNNNNGGAUCUAAUUUUAAAAAUAUUAAUAUUUCGAUAUAAAAUUGAAACAGUGCACACAAAUUAGUAUAACCGAAAUCUGUACGAAACCGACCACCUUAAUUUAAUACAUAAUUUGACAUUCAUAUAAAAUAUUAUCUUGGAAAUAUACUGAAAGAGGAAACUAAUCGUAUGUAAAUGGAUAACUUGGAAGAGAUAAUGCAGCAGGAAUCAUUAUAUUAACAGUUGCAUCUUCUCGAUGUACGGCUGCUCACUAUCUGGACUGCAUUUAUCGUUUGAUUCUUUUCUUAAUUAGCCAAACUCAUGUUAACACUGGUAUAACAGUAAUUAAUUACUUCAUGGACAAAACAUCAAUAUAUAAAUACCCCAUAUAUAAUAAGCAACAACGUAUCAAAAUACACCAAAUAAUGGGAAUUGGAGAACGCCCAUUUAUACAAACAAAUGUAAGUGGGCAAAAUCAAUACUCAUAAUAAAGACACAAAGACGACUAAAAACCUUAUUAAACUAGAUCCAGUAUGCAGCAUAACAGAAAAGGGGGUAUUUCAAGGAGUAGAACGAGAAGGUGGUGGAGAAAAGAAAGCAAUAGAGGGAACUGCAGUUGGGAUUGAGGGAAUGUUUGGCAGAGGCGGCAGUCCUCUUGGCAAUGUGGCUGGAAGUGGAGGAAGCGCCCCAGGGUUUGGGAGAUUAGGGAAAGAUGGCAAUGGUGGAAAAGAGAAAGGAAUAGGGGGAACUGCAGUUGGGAUUGUGGGGACUGAGGGAAUGCUUGGCAGAGGGGGUAGUCCUGUUGGCAAUGUGGUAGGAAGUGGAGGAAGCGGCCCAGGCCAUGAGAAUGAUGGUCGGGAUGGCGUUGGGAGAUUAGGGAAAGAUGGUAAACUUUGCGGUUGAGGCUGCUGCAGAAGGUGACGAGCUGCUACCCCAACAUCAAUGCUUGCAAAUGACAAAGCAAUCAAGAAUGCUAAAGCAAGGCAAUUGAAAGAAGCCAUUUUUGUUCAGAGAUUUCGAAACAAAUGAAGCAGAUGAAACAAAGUUCUUUAUCUGAAUAGUUGUGAGUGAGGAAAGCAACGCAUGGUAUUGAGGUUUAUAUAGGAAUUGGAGCAGUAAAUAGAAAUCCCCUGCCCCUAAACAAUGCCCAAUGCAUGCCCCCAAACCAAAAUAGCGCCACAUGUUUUUUAUUUUUUCCAUUUUAAUUGUAGUUCAUUUUUUAAAUAAAAAAUUUAUAAUGAUUUGGAUGAAUUUUUAACUUAUUAUCAACGUUUUUGUUUUUGUUUUAUUUUCUAUUAAUUUUACGUAUUCUUUAAUUAACAAAUUUAUAAUGACUUGGAAUUAAUUUAACAAUAUUUUUUUUAUAAUCGUUCUUAUAAUAAAAUUUAAAAAGAUGGGAAUGAGUCCCACAAUGACAACAUGAUCCUUAAAUUUUGGGUGGUAGCAUGCCUUUAGUCAAAGGAUCUGAUAACAUCUGCUCAGUGUUAAUGUGCUCAAUGACGACUUUAUUUUCUUUAACAUGUUUCCUUAUGACUAGAUACUUAAAGUCGAUAUGUUUACUUCGACUUUCACUUUUUUCGCUCUUAGCCAUAAAGACAGCAAUUGAAUUGUCACAAUAUAUGAAAUAAUCGAAACCUAUAAUGACUCAGCUCAAAAAACUAGAGCCUCAAACCCAAAUUAAAUUAAAUCAAAAUCAUAAUUUAUUAUAUACAAUUGCAUAAAAUUAACAUAUUUUAAGUGUCAUAGUGCAUGUACAGCCCAAAUUUAGCCCGGGGCCCAAAACCUACCCAAACCCGAGAAACCAAUACAACCCAAAAACAGACUAAAAAACCUAAGCCCAAAAACCAGCCCAAUAAGCCCAAAUCUAACCCUAGCCCAGAAACCCAAAUCAGAGACAAAAAAUAAAAUUUUCAAACCCUAGGUGCGCCGCACCUAGGGUUCUCUGCCCUGUUGGCCACCGCAUGCUAGGACCUGCUGCCACCGCCCUUGUCCCAUCGCCUCUGACGCCUAGCCACUGCCACCGCCGCCUGCAGCACCAACUCCACUAUUCAACCCCUGCAAAAUGAAAACCAAACACGCAAAGCAGAAGCAAAAACAAUGCAAAAUAGUAGAAAAAAAUAGAUAAAAAAUGUAUUGUAAAUUGGCUAUAAAAGCCUGGAUCUCAGCCUUGUAAUCUUUCUUCUUCUUUUUUCACGAACGUUAGAAAAUAAAAACAAAAAAAAAAGUUUCAAGGUGAUUAUCUUUAUUAUUUUAGAUUUCGAUUUUUUUUAUUUUAUUUUCAUUUUAUCUUCUUAUUUUUAUGCACGAAAAUAAAAAAGAAAAGGAGAAAGAAACAUACCUGAAUCGGCCCUUAGAUCCGUCGUUAUCAGCCCUUCGGCGCCGUCGGAUUCGGGUUUAGGGAAGGGCUAAGACCUUUUUUUUUUCUCUCCUUGUUUCCUCAUUCUAAGAUUUUGGUCUUUGAACGCGUUUCAACGCACUGAUCGAGAACGCCCUCUUGCAACGCCGGCCGUCAGCCACGGCGGCGCAAGCGAUGGCCCUGUUGGCCGAAUUUGGAGGGAUCGAGAGAGAGGCUAAGAGCUCUCUUCUUCUUUUUUUCUGAAAAAUGAAGUUGGAAAUGUUUUUUUUUGUUUUUUUACUAUGUAUAUAGGGUAUAAAACGAUGCCGUUUUGGACCUUAACAUCGGUAGCCAAAACGACGUCGUUUUGCCCUGACCCGUGCGGUGACCCGACCCUGGGGGGAGGAUCCGCGUGUUUUCUUAAAAAGGGAUAUUUGAGCGUGCGGUCCCUCCGCUUUUGCAACGCAUUGCAAUUUGCCCCUUUUUCCUUCUUUUCUUUUAUUUCAAUUCAGCCGCAUAAUUUUAUUUUUGUUUCAUUUUAGUCCCACGUAAAGUGAUGCAUUUUGAAGGGCGGGAUAUUUCCUUUUUGGUCCCCCUCCUUUCACGCGCAUCACAAAUUAAUCCUUUGCCUAUUUUAUUUUUGAUUUCUCCCCUGGGAUUUUGUUUUGUUUUCAAUUUAGUCCCGUUAUUAUUAUUAUUUAUUAAACUAAUUAGUUUUAUUAUUAUUAUUAUUAUUAUUAUUAUUAUUAUUAUUAUUAUUAUUGCAUUUAUUAUUAUUACCUACCUUAUUAUUAUUAUUAUUUACCCAUUUAUACCGUUUUUAGAUUUUGUUAUAUAUAUAUAUAUACAUACUUACAUAUAUAUACAUACUUAUAUAUUUUUAAUUUUUAUAUAUGUACGUACUUAUAUUUUUUUAUAUACUUUAUAAUUUAUAUAUACAUAUAUACAUACAUAUUUUUAAUAUAUUUUUAAACAUAUAUAUACAUUAUCAUUAUUUACUUGUUUAUAUAUAUAUAUAUAUUUUAAACUUUGUUGUAUUUAUACACAUAUAUUUUUAUAUUUUUAUAAUUUUUUUUAUUUUCAUUAUUGCUAUUAUUGUUUUAUUCGACAUUUAUUUAUUUAUUUACAUGUCUAUUAUUAUUAUUAUCAUUAUUUUUUUAAUGUUUUAGUUUUUAUUUGUUUAUUACUUGUUAUUGUGUAUACAUGAUUGAUUUUUUUAUAUUUGUAUUCUUAUUUAUUUAUCUUUCUGUUUUUGCCCAUAUUAUUUUUACUUACAUUAUCAUAAUCGUUAUUCCAUUACAUCAAUUUUUACCCAGAUUCGUAAAAAAGAAAAUUUUGAAAAUAAAGGCAAUACUCAGUAUUUGGGAUUUUCGAGAGGAUUGAGCCCUAACGCAUUGGGUUCCAAUUUUCUUCGUUGAAUCUAAAUAAUCGAGAAUGCUCUUUAAUCAAAAAACAUAAAUAAAAAGUUCAUUAUCGAGAAUUCAAUACGUUGUGUCCUAACGCAUUGGAUAUGACACGUUCUUUUCUCGAAAUAAGGAUUUUCUAAAAAAUAAUAAAGGCAAUAUUCAAUGUUUAGAAUUUGAGAAAUUGUGCCUUAACAUAUUGGGUUGCGAUUUUUUCAUCUGACUUAAACAAUUGAAUAUCCUUUUAAAUUUUAUUGCACGAGUUUUUUGGGCAAACUCAUUCUUGAGGAGGUAAAAUAUCAUGCCCUAACUCAUUAGGUGUGACAUUUUCUCUCUCCGAAAUGAGAGGGUCUUAACGGUAAUUUGAUUUAUACAAGUUUUUUUAAUAAAUAAUCGUAUUUUAAAUCUCUUUAAAGUUUCUAAUUCUCGACACUAAGACACUAAAUAAUCAACUACGUACCAAUCUUGGGCGUUACGAGGGUGCUAAUCCUUCCUCGCACGUAAUCGACUCCCGAACCCAUUUUUCUGAAUUUCGUGGACCAAGAUCGUUGUUUUAAUAAACUCAAAUCGUUUAUUAAAAACAACCACUUUUUAAGGUGGCCCAAUCACACCUCAUCAAAAAAGAUUUGUGGCGACUCCCAUUUUCGUUUUCAUUUUCAAAACCCAAGUCGACCCCAUUUUCACAAAAAAAUGGUGUCAACAGUGCACAUUAAAUUAAAGAUUAUGUUUGACAUUAUAGAUUGAAGCAAUAUUCAUGUGUAAAAUUUUGAGAUUUAUUUCCUUAAUUAAAGUAAUAUUUCAAAUAGAAUACUUAAACAAUCCUCCAUGUUGGCAAACUUUAUGUACAUUAGAAACGAACUAAAUAAUUAGAAUAAAUCUAAAGUAUGGCUUACAUUUAGUUUAUUCACAAUGUGACUUAAACUUUGGCCUUCAAGAUUUCACGGUCUCAAAUUAUGUCUUAAAAUUUUAAGAUCAUUUUAGCUUUGAUAAAAAAAAUCAAAAGUUUAGAAAGUUAGGAUUGUUGCUUGAGGCGUGAAUAUCCCUAGUCUUUAGGAUAUUCAUGGAUUUACUAUCUUUCAAGAUUUAAUUUGUAUCAUGCACAAUGAAAAAAUUGAAAAAAAAAUUCCCAUUUGAAUGGAAUUGAGCUAUUAGGCUCAAGCCUCGUGUGCGCAUAUAUAUUCUCUUAUUUUGAGUCUUACAAGUUUAUAAUAAACCAAAUCUAUAUAAACAUCAUUUAAUAAGUGUAUCUAAAAUAUGUUUAAUAUGUGUAAUUCUUUAAAAUACAUGAAAACUUCAAAUAUGGUUUAGGUCAUUUUCAGAUUUGUCUUAUUUUAGGUUCAAAUCAUUCGAAUUUGAGGCUAUGUUUUUCAUGUCUAAUCAUUAUUGAUCCGAAUCAUUUUAAAUUUUGAUCAGUUUAAGUUCCAAUUAUUUUGUGAUCAAAUCAUUUUAAGUUUAGAUAAAUUUGGGUCAAUUCGAAUUUGACUUAAUUACGUAAUUACCUUUUUUUAUAAUAAAUUGAGCUGAAUGAAAUUUAGAUUGGAAUUUAUUUAGUGUGCCUUUGUGUUUAAGUUGAAAUUUAAACAUCUGUAUUGGAAAUACACAUGUUAAUACAAUUUUAUGUUAAAGACAAUAAUACGACAGAGUUGAUUUGGGAGAUAAACAUGUUAAUUUUUUUAAUCCCAACCAAAAUUGUACAUAAUUCUUUUAUGUCAUAUUAAAUACAUGUAUAAAAAUUGUCAAUAAAUUAUGCCUAGCGACAACGUUAUUCAAAUCUAAUUUCAUUGUUAAUACCUAUUUCUAUUUUUCUUCUAUUGUCUUCAACUUUAAAUAUGAAGGAAUUGAAAUUUUAAGAAUUGAGAUUUCUUUUCUUUGUAUUAGUGGACGUUUGAUUUUUUUUACUAGAAUUGAUGCAUAUCUUUUCAGAUUUAUCAAUAUUUUUUAAAAUUAUUUAAGAUAUGUAUAUGAAUAUAUUACAAAUAUAAAAUGCAUGAUACUAAAUACAUUUCAAAUUUAAAAUAUUCAUUAAUAAACUUAAUAAAUAAAAAAUUAUCAUUCAAAUAAAUCCAAAAUUAUUAAUAAUAAUCCAUCAUUUAAUAUGAAAUUUUAAGGAUUUAGCUCAUUUACUUAAUAAAAGAAGCUGAAAGGUGAACGGAUAUUUUUUUAUUUGAUGAUCGGGUGAAUGGUUUUUUCUUAAUUAUAUUUUGAAUGUGAAAGUAUAUUCCAUUUUUUUUUAAAAAUUUACAUUCCGAUGUAGAAUUUUUAAUUAGUCAAAUUUCAAUUAAGUUUUUAGCAUAAUAGUAAAUUAUUAAAAGUUUAAUGUUUUUAAUAUUAUUCAUGCACAGGACGGUGCACUAUGUUCUGGCAGGUGUGACUGGAAUUGAUCGGAAUGAGUUGGUGCAAUUGGUACAGACCAAAAUUUUUAACAGUGUAGAAAAAUGGUGUUGGGUGUUUCGCAAUGUUAUUGAAACCAAACCAAACAGACCAAGAACCGAUGAACCCGAGAACUAGAAUAAACUGCAGUUAAAUUGCAAAUCAUCAGCUGAUUAAGCCGUAUUUUCAAAUUUUCUAGAUUGAAAAAACAAAAUUUCACUUCAAAUCCCUUGAGCUUCUGUUACACUUCUUCUCUUAACUCAAUGAAAUAAAACAAACCAUAAAAAGAAUAAGCACCGUUUCUUUUAUUACUUUUUCUAUUAAAAUAUUUUUUUUCUCGUGAAAAACCUGGGCUUAUAACAUUCAAUCAAAGGAAAAAAAGGACAAAUUAGGAAAGAUGAAAGAUGGGGAGAGGGUUUUAAAAUUUAAAGCCUUCAAAAUAGAUGAGUUUAGGGUUAUUAAUAUUAUUUUAUAUUGUUCAGUAAAAAAUUAAUUGUAUCGGUGGUUGAACGUGUGAGAUCAAGAAUUGAUUAUUUGAUUAAUUUGAUUAUCGAUCUAAUUUUAAAAAUAUUAAUAAUUCGAUACAAAAUUAAUAUAGUGCAGACAAAUUAAUAUAACAGAAAAUUGUACGAAACCGAGCACCUUAAUUUAAUACAUAAUUUGACAUUCAUAUAAAAUAUUAUCUUGGAAAUAUAUUGAAAGAAGAAAGUAAUCGUAUGUAAAUGGAUAACUUGGAAGAGAUGAUGAAGCAGGAAUCAUUAUAUUAAAAGUGGCAUUUUCUCGAUGUACGGCUGCUCACUAUUUUGACUGCAUUUAUCGUUUGAUUCUUUUCUUAAUUAGCCAAACUCAUGUUAACAAUGGUAUAACAGUAAGUAAUUACUUCAUGGACAGAACAUCAAUAUAUAAAUACCCCACAUAUAAUAAGCAACAACGUAUCAAAAUACACCAAAUAAUGGGAAUUGGAGAACGCCCAUUUAUACAAACAUAUAUAAGUGGGCAAAAUCAAUACUCAUAAUAAAGACACAAAGACGACUAAAAACCUUAUUAAACUAGAUCCAGUAUGCAGCAUAACAGAAAAGGGGGUAUUUCAAGGAGUAGAACGAGAAGGUGGUGGAGAAAAGAAAGGAAUAGAGGGAACUGCAGUUGGGAUUGAGGGAAUACUUGGCAGAGGCGGCAGUCCUCUUGGCAAUGUGGUAGGAAGUGGAGGAAGCGCCCCAGGGUUUGGGAGAUUAGGGAAAGAUGGCAAUGGUGGAAAAGAGAAAGGAAUAGGGGGAACUGCAGUUGGGAUUGUGGGGACUGAGGGAAUGCUUGGCAGAGGGGGUAGUCCUGUUGGCAAUGUGGUAGGAAGUGGAGGAAGCGCCCCAGGCCAUGGGAAUGAUUGUCGGGAUGGCGUUGGGAGAUUAGGGAAAGAUGGUAAACUUUGCGGUUGAGGCUGCUGCAGAAGGUGACGAGCUGCUAGCCCAACAUCAAUGCUUGCAAAUGACAAAGCAAUCAAGAAUGCUAAAGCAAGGCAAUUGAAAGAGGCCAUUUUUGUUCAGAGAUUUCGAAACAAAUGAAGCAGAUGAAACAAAGUUCUUUAUCUGAAUAG